GCUCCAGUGGCAAAGUGGUUAGAGCGUCCGCCUCGAAUGCUGGAAGUCGUGCGUUCGAUUCCCUUUUGAAUCA